rnacentral:rRNA from 1 species
AGCGAACGCUGGCGGCAGGCCUAACACAUGCAAGUCGAACGGAUCCUUCGGGAUUAGUGGCGGACGGGUGAGUAACACGUGGGAACGUGCCCUUUGGUUCGGAACAACUCAGGGAAACUUGAGCUAAUACCGGAUGUGCCCUUCGGGGGAAAGAUUUAUCGCCAUUGGAGCGGCCCGCGUCUGAUUAGCUAGUUGGUGGGGUAAAGGCCCACCAAGGCGACGAUCAGUAGCUGGUCUGAGAGGAUGAUCAGCCACAUUGGGACUGAGACACGGCCCAAACUCCUACGGGAGGCAGCAGUGGGGAAUCUUGCGCAAUGGGCGAAAGCCUGACGCAGCCAUGCCGCGUGAAUGAUGAAGGUCUUAGGAUUGUAAAAUUCUUUCACCGGGGACGAUAAUGACGGUACCCGGAGAAGAAGCCCCGGCUAACUUCGUGCCAGCCGCCGCGGUAAAAC